rnacentral:rRNA from 1 species
GACGAACGCUGGCGGCGUGCUUAACACAUGCAAGUCGAACGGAAAGGCCCUGCUUGCAGGGUACUCGAGUGGCGAACGGGUGAGUAACACGUGGGUGAUCUGCCCUGCACUUCGGGAUAAGCCUGGGAAACUGGGUCUAAUAUCGGAUAGGAGCCAUUUUUAGUGUGAUGGUUGGAAAGUUUUUUCGGUGUAGGAUGAGCUCGCGGCCUAUCAGCUUGUUGGUGGGGUAAUGGCCUACCAAGGCGGCGACGGGUAGCCGGCCUGAGAGGGUGGACGGCCACAUUGGGACUGAGAUACGGCCCAGACUCCUACGGGAGGCAGAAGUGGGGAAUAUUGCACAAUGGGCGCAAGCCUGAUGCAGCGACGCCGCGUGGGGGAUGACGGCCUUCGGGUUGUAAACUCCUUUCGCUAGGGACGAAGCUUUUUGUGACGGUACCUAGAUAAGAAGCACCGGCUAACUACGUG